UACGAAGGGGGCUAGCGUUGUUCGGAAUUACUGGGCGUAAAGCGCGCGUAGGCGGGUCAUUAAGUCAGGGGUGAAAUCCCGGGGCUCAACCUCGGAAUUGCCUUUGAUACUGGUGACCUAGAGUCCGAGAGAGGUGAGUGGAACUCCGAGUGUAGAGGUGAAAUUCGUAGAUAUUCGGAAGAACACCAGUGGCGAAGGCGGCUCACUGGCUCGGUACUGACACUGAGGUGCGAAAGCGUGGGGAGCGAACAGG
rnacentral:misc_RNA from 1 species